rnacentral:rRNA from 1 species
GACGAACGCUGGCGGCGUGCUUAACACAUGCAAGUCGAACGGAAAGGCCCUGCUUUUGUGGGGUGCUCGAUUGGCGAACGGGUGAGUAACACGUGAGUAACCUGCCCUUGACUUUCGGAUAACUUCACGAAACUGGGGCUAAUACCGGAUAGGAGCUCCUGCUGCAUGUUGGGGGUUGGAAAGUUUCGGCGGUUGGGGAUGGACUCGCGGCUUAUCAGCUUGUUGGUGGGGUAGUGGAUUACCAAGGCUUUGACGGGUAGGCGGCCUGAGAGGGUGAACGGCCACAUUGGGACUGAGAUAGGGCGCAGACUCGUAUGGGAGGCAGCAGUGGAGAAUAUUGCACAACGGGCGGAAGCCUGAGGCAGAAACGCCGCGUGCGGGAUGACGGCCUUCGGGUUGUAAACCGCUUUCGCAUGUGACGAAGCGUGAGUGACGGUAAUGGGUAAAGAAGCACCGGCUAACUACGUG